rnacentral:rRNA from 1 species
UACGAAGGGGGCUAGCGUUGUUCGGAAUUACUGGGCGUAAAGCGCGCGCAGGCGGCUAUCCAAGUCAGUGGUGAAAGCCCGGAGCUCAACUCCGGAACUGCCAUUGAAACUGUUUAGCUUGAGGAUGAGAGAGGUGAGUGGAAUUCCCAGUGUAGAGGUGAAAUUCGUAGAUAUUGGGAAGAACACCGGUGGCGAAGGCGGCUCACUGGCUCGUAACUGACGCUCAUGCACGACAGCGUGGGGAUCAAACAGG